CCUACGGGGGGCAGCAGUGGGGAAUAUUGGGCAAUGGGCGCAAGCCUGACCCAGCAACGCCGCGUGAAGGAAGAAGGCUUUCGGGUUGUAAACUUCUUUUCUCAGGGACGAAGCAAGUGACGGUACCUGAGGAAUAAGCCACGGCUAACUACGUGCCAGCAGCCGCGGUAAUACGUAGGUGGCAAGCGUUAUCCGGAUUUACUGGGUGUAAAGGGCGUGUAGGCGGGGACGCAAGUCAGAUGUGAAAACCACGGGCUCAACCUGUGGCCUGCAUUUGAAACUGUGUUUCUUGAGUACUGGAGAGGCAGACGGAAUUCCUAGUGUAGCGGUGAAAUGCGUAGAUAUAUGGAAGAACAUCAGUGGCGAAGGCGGCCGCCUGGCCUGUUAACUGAUGCUGAGGCACGAAAGCGUGGGGAGCAAAUAGGAUUAGAUACCCGUGUAGUC
rnacentral:rRNA from 1 species